CAUACAGUGGGUGCCAAGAUUGAAGUAGAACACCUGGUUACUUGGCCCUUCAGCCAGGGCUUCCUGUCUGUGGAUUUAAGGGUCUUGGGCCUCCCUGCUCCCCAGUGCCUCGUCUAGCCUCUUCCCUGCCUUUCCUCGCACAUGCUGACCCUUGGCUGUCCUCACAGUUUCAUAGUCCACAUGCGGAAGCUGGACCUGAAAGCAACCGUAAUGUGGGAGCCCAGAGGGGCACCCGAGGAGUGAGCCCAGAGCCGGGUGGUGGGAAUGAAGAUUCCCUGGAAAAGAUCUAAUCUUCUAAGUAAAGGAUGAGGAGGAGUGGGCCAGGCAAAGAAAGAUCCUGUUUGAAGUUUGGAGCCACAGGAGCAAGUGUGGGAGGUGGAAGCAAGGAGACAGCAGUCCCAUCUUCAGUCAAAGAUGAGAAAACUGAGGAACAAAGAGGAUACACAGCUUACUCAAAGAUACACAUCUGUGGUCGAGUGCAGUGGCUCAUGCCUGUAAUCCCAGCACUUUGGGAGGCCGAGGUGGGUGGAUCACUUGGGGCCAAGAGUUAGAGACUAGCCUGGCCAACAUGGUGAAACCCCGUCUCUACUAAAAACAAAAAUUAUCCAGGUGUGGUGGUGGGCGCCUGUAAUCCCAGCUACUUGGGAGGCUGAGGCACAAGAAUCAUUUGAAGCCUGGAGACAGAGGUUGCAGUGAAGCAAGAUCACACCAAUGCACUCCGGCCUUGGUGACAGAGUGAGACUCUAUCUCAACAAAAAUAAAAAAUAGAAAUAAAAUAAAGAGAAGAUACACACCCAGUAAAUGGUGGAACUCGUAGGAACCCUAUCCGUGAGCGUGUGUGUGUGAGACUGUCGGGUUGUGUGAGUAACUAAGGUUGGCCUUGGGUAGAUACUGGAAGCAUCUGCUAGGACCUCAUCCUGUGGCGGGGUCCAGGUGUGCACGUCUGAUCCUGCAGCGCCCCCUGGUGCUCACACUCCUGCACUGUUCACUUGGCCCUUCCUGUGGCCCUUCCACUGGGAGGCUCCCGGGUCCACCAGUCCCUGUCCUGCAGGGCCACGCCUGUCUGAGUCUUUGGCUUGCUCCCUUCAGCUCUGCAUGGCUGCUGGGUCCUAGGGCAUGGAGGGGCCUUCAGGGAGCCUCAGGGAAGAGAGAAUACAGAGGCAUGAGGCCUGGAAUCCCCUCUGCCUGAACAGAGCUGGUUCCAGUUGGAAAUGAAAAUGCUGGCCAGGCGCGGUGGCUCACGCCUGUAAUCCCAGCACUUUGGGAGGCCGAGGUGGGUGGAUCAUCUGAAGUCAGGAGUUCAAGACCAGCCUGGCCAACAUGGUGAAACCCUGUCUCUACUAAAAAUACAAAAAAAUUAGCUGGGCAUGAUGGUGGGCGCCUGUAAUCCCAGCUACUCGGGAGGCUGAUUCAGGAGAAUUGCCUGGACCUGGGAGGUAGAGGUUUCAGUGGGCUGAGAUCGUGUCAUUGCACUCCAGCCUGGGCAACAAGAGUGAAACUCCAUCUCAAAAAAACAAGACAGAAAGAAAGGAAGAAAGAAAAAAGAAAAUGAAAAUGCUUUUCACCCACCCAUCAGCAGCCAGCAGCUCAGUCUGACUGAGGAAGGGCAUUUGUGCGACUGGAGCUGGUAGGAUGGCAUAACGGGGGCAGGGAAGACUCUGGGAUAUGUAUUGAAAUCCAGGUGUUGGCUGGGCACAGUGGGACACACCUGCAAUCCCAGUGUUUUGGAAGGCCGAGCCGGGAAGAUCAUUUGAGGCCAGGAGUUUGAGGCCAGUCUCGGCAACAUGGUGAUACCCUGUCCCUACAAAAACUAAAAAAAUUAUCCAGGCAUGGCGACACUCACUUGCAGUCCCCGCUACUUGGGAGGCUGAGGGGGGAGAAUCGCUUGAUUGAGUUCGAGGCUGCAGUGAGUUCGAGGAGUUCAAGGCUGCAGAGAGCUACAAUCGUGCCACUUCAGUCCAGCAUGCACAGCAGAGUGGACCCUGUCUCUAAAACAAAAACAAAAAUAAACCCAGGUGUUUUAAGGUAGUGGUACAUUGAUCCUCAAAG
rnacentral:lncRNA from 10 species